rnacentral:rRNA from 1 species
UGAGGAAUAUUGGACAAUGGGCGCAAGCCUGAUCCAGCCAUGCCGCGUGCAGGAAGAAGCAUCUCUGGUGUGUAAACUGCUUUUGUACGGGAAGAAACACUCCUUCGUGAAGGAGCUUGACCGUACCGUAAUAAUAAGGAUCGGCUAACUCCGUGCCAGCAGCCGCGGUAAUACGGAGGAUCCAAGCGUUAUCCGGAAUCAUUGGAUUUAAAGGGUCCGUAGGCGGUUUAGUAAGUCAGUGGUGAAAGCCCAUCGCUCAACGAUGGAACGGCCAUUGAUACUGCUAGACUUGAAUUAUUAGGAAGUAAAUAGAAUAUGUAGUGUAGCGGUGAAAUGCUUAGAUAUUACAUGGAAUACCAAUUGCGAAGGCAGGUUACUACUUGUGGAUUGACGCUGAUGGACGAAAGCGUGGGGAGCGAACA